GGAAUAUUCGCUGUGUUUUAAAGAAAGCUUGCAAUGUCACUCGAAAAACCAUCCUGCCAAGCAUCUAACGAAAUUUCUGCAAUUAAGAAUAAACUGCAAUUCUUGUACGUCUCGAGAGGGAAUGGGGUGGACUGAACAAACAAUUUUCAUAAACUUUCUCUGUACACAUCUAGGACAAGGAAUAGCGCACGCUUGCCAAUUAUCACCGAAAUCAGUGAGCAAUUUAAAUUUGUUUUCAUCGAACAGGUUACAAGAAUCCGGAGGAGGUGCAUCCGCUCUGUCCAAAAUCAUUUUAGCGUCCUGUCCAAGCCGCAUCCUAGCCUCGUGAAAGUUAAAGAUGACCACGACAGUGACGACUUCGAUAUCAAACACGCUGCAUCUUCAUUUGUCGAUGGUACCGUGCAUGGUGUGGAACUGGAACCGAACGAUAGGCCGAUACUGCUGGAUGUGCUUAGAAAGCGAACAUGUCCAGCCGAAGUCCAUUCUCUUCAACGAACGCUACUAAGCUACAAAGAAACGAAAGACUGCUUCCAAAUUUACGCCAACGACGACUGCUACUCGUCAUUAAGUAGCAAUUGUGAUCUGAUCAAGGAUGCCAUUUCGCUUGGCCAUUGCCUCUGGAUAAAUCAUCGACAGCAUCGACAACAUUAGGAAGGUUCUUAUUACAUUUUAAUAUUAUGUACCGUGCAAGCAACAUAUUCAAAACAGUGCCUAAUUCUGAAAAGUCUCAUUAUUCAUAAA